rnacentral:rRNA from 1 species
GACGAACGCUGGCGGCGUGCCUAAAACAUGCAAGUCGAACGGAGCCUUCGGGCUCAGUGGCGAACGGCGGAGUAAUACAUGAGGAACGUGCCCUGAAGACUGGGAUAGUCAUUGGAAACGAUGGGUAAUACCAGAUGUGGCAGCUGCUUGGCAUCAAGUAGCUAUUAAAUGGUUUUUCGCUUCAGGAGCGCCUCAUGGCCUAUCAGGUAGUUGGUGGGGUAAUGGCCUACCAAGCCGACGACGGGUAGCGGGUCUGAGAGGAUGAUCCGCUCGAGUGGGACUGAGACACGGCCCACACACCUACGGGUGGCAGCAGUUGGGAAUCUUGCACAAUGGCCUAACGGCUGACGCAGCGACGCCGCGUGUGGGAGGACGCCCCUCGGGGUGUAAACCACUGUUGCCGGGACGAACAUCCUGAUUCUUCAGGACUGACGGUACCGGGUGAGGAAGCACCGGCUAACUCCGUGCCA